GGUCUCAAACUCACGAACUGUGAGAUCAUGACCUGAGCUGAAAUCAAGAGUCAGACACUUAACUGACUGAGCCACCCAGUCACCCCUAAACUAGGCACUCUUUAAAGGUGCUCUGCUAAAAAUAAAUGCUGAGUAAUAACAAGGAGGGUCCUGAAGUAGGAUGUGAUGUUUGGGAAAAAAUGUUUUAUG